GACCGCUACGUGUAUGACAGUCUGACCGCUACGUGUAUGACAGUCUGACCGCUACGUGUAUGACAGUCUGACCGCUACGUGUAUGACAGUCUGACAGCUACGUGUAUGACAGUCUACCCGCUACGUGUAUGACAGUCUGACCGCUACGUGUAUGACAGUUUGACCGCUACGUGUAUGACAGUUUGACCGCUACGUGUAUGACAGUCUGACCGCUACGUGUAUGACAGUCUGACCGCUACGUGUAUGACAGUCUGACCGCUACGUGUACGACAGUCUGACCGCUACGUGAUGCCCCUUGUAUGCAAUGUCCACUGUACUGACCGGGUAGAGGCGGCUGACACAAGCAGAAUAAACCACCGACCCGGCCAUGAUGUCCGACACAGACUGACCACAGAGAUAGCCGGAGAGACUGACCGGGUGGAUACAGCUGACCGGGUGGAUACAGGUGACCGGGUGACCGGGUGGAUACAGGUGACCGGGUGACCAGGUGGAUACAGCUGACCGGGUGACCGGGUGGAUACAGGUGACCGGGUGACCGGGUGGAUACAGGUGACCGGGUGACCGGGUGGAUACAGGUGACCGGGUGGAUACAGGUUGACCGGGUGACCGGUGGAUAUAGGU